GGCGCGCCAGUCCUCCGAUAGACUGAGUCGCCCGGGUACCCGUGUUCCCAAUAAAGCCUCUUGCUGAUUACAUCCGAAUCGUGGUCUCGCUGAUCCUUGGGAGGGUCUCCUCAGAUUGAUUGACUACCCACCUCGGGGGUCUUUCAUUUGGAGGUCCCACCGAGAUUAGGAGACCCCUGCCCAGGGACCACCGACCCCCGCCGGGAGCUCACUUACAGGCCCUCCAAGCAGUACAACGAGAGGUCUGGAAGCCACUGGCCGCUGCUUAUCAGGACCAGCUGGAUCAGCCAGUGAUACCACACCCCUUCCGCGUCGGUGACGCCGUGUGGGUACGCCGGCACCAGACUAAGAACUUAGAACCCCGCUGGAAAGGACCCUACACCGUCCUGCUGACCACCCCCACCGCUCUCAAAGUAGACGGCAUCUCUGCGUGGAUACACGCCGCUCACGUAAAGGCGGCAACAACUCCUCCGGCCGGAACAGCAUGGAAGGUCCAGCGUUCUCAAAAUCCCUUAAAGAUAAGAUUAACCCGUGGGGCCCCCUGAUGUAAGGUUAAACCAGAGACAAAAAUUGUUCGAAUCAGGACAAGGGUGGUUUGAGGGACUGUUUAACAGGUCCCCAUGGUUCACGACCUUGAUAUCCACCAUUAUGGGCCCCUUGAUAAUACUUUUAUUAAUCCUACUCCUCGGACCCUGUAUUCUCAACCGCUUGGUCCAGUUUGUAAAAGACAGAAUUUCGGUGGUGCAGGCCCUGGUUCUGACCCAACAGUAUCACCAACUCAAAUCAAUAGAUCCAGAAGAAGUGGAAUCACGUGAAUAAAAGAUUUUAUUCAGUUUCCAGAAAGAGGGGGGAAUGAAAGACCCCACCAUAAGACUUAGCAAGCUAGCUGCAGUAACGCCAUUUUGCAAGGCAUGAAAAAGUACCAGAGCUGAGUUCUCAAAAGUUACAAGGAAGUUCAGUUAAAGAUUAACAGUUAAAAAUCAAGGCUGAAUAAUACUAGGACAAGGGCCAAGAACCGAUGGUACCCACCGGGGCCCCGGCUCAAGGCCAAGAACCGAUGGUACCCACCUGGGCCCCGGCUCAGGGCCAAGAACAGAUGAUACCCAGAUAAGGCGGAACCAGCAACAGUUUCUGAAAAAGUCCCACCUCAGUUUCAGGUUCCCCAAAUGACCGGGAAAUACCCCAAGCCUUGAUUUGAACUAACCACUCAGCUCGCUUCUCGCUUCUGUACCCGCGCUUUUUGCUCCCCAGCCCUAUAAAAAGGGUAAAAACCCCACACUCGGCGCGCCAGUCCUCCGAUAGACUGAGUCGCCCGGGUACCCGUGUUCCCAAUAAAGCCUCUUGCUGAUUACAUCCGAA